rnacentral:rRNA from 1 species
CCUACGGGAGGCUGCAGUGGGGAAUAUUGCACAAUGGGGGAAACCCUGAUGCAGCGACGCCGCGUGAGUGAAGAAGUAAUUCGUUACGUAAAGCUCUAUCAGCAGGGAAGAAACACUGACCUUACGGUCAGCAGACGGUACCUGAGUAAGAAGCCCCGGCUAACUACGUGCCAGCAGCCGCGGUAAUACGUAGGGGGCAAGCGUUGUCCGGAUUUACUGGGCGUAAAGGGAGCGUAGGCGGCCUGCCAAGUCUGCUGUGAAAUACCGUGGCUGAACCCCGGGGCUGCAUUGGAAACUGGCAGGCUGGAGUGACGGAGAGGCAGGCGGAAUUCCUAGUGUAGCGGUGAAAUGCGUAGAUAUUAGGAGGAACACCAGUGGCGAAGGCGGCCUGCUGGACGGUGACUGACGCUGAGGCUCGAAAGCGUGGGGAGCAAACAGGAUUAGAUACCCGGGUAGUC